GAUUUUUAUCGAUUACUUGGAAACGGAGUAAGCUAUCGAUUAUCGGAAACAAACUCGAUCUGCGCAGGCAAUAGGAGCAUCUACUCUCUUUAGGGCAUAUUUAUGAGCAUGAUCAUCAGAAUAUUCAUAUGUUUCGAAUUUCAUUUCAAGAUCAUCUUUAAUAUGUAUAUUAAGGAGUCGGUAUUCAUAUAAUUUAAUACUAGAUCAGAUUUAAACUUUGCUACCACAUAAUCAUAAUAAAAAUCAUACAUCAACAAUUUCGAAAGAUCUUAUACUGUUAAACCUAAAUAUAUGGGCUUAUUAUAAUAAGUUUUAUAUCUUUUCAUUUGGAUUGCAUAUGUAGUAUACCUCCCCCGCCAGUUACACAAAUCAAAGGGUAUAAAAGUUAAUACAUACAUUGUGACACUCAGUCAUAAUAAUCAUAAAUAUACAAAUACCCAAAAGACCACACUUAAACAUACAAACACACCAGCGCAUAUGUCAUACGAUCCACCACUUAUAUACAUGGCUAUCGUAGCGCGUGGGAAUGCUGAGCAUGCACAUUGCAGCUCAAGUGGUCAAGAUAUACACAACAUAUGUAUGCCUUCUGCAUACACAUGUAUAUACUAAUAUACUUACACAUAAAUAUAAGACAUAGAUAUAAGCAUUGCAUGUUUCGGGUUAGCUGAACACAGCACGAAUAUGUAAGAAGCAUUCUAAAUAAAGCAAGACAACGGAGCAGACGCUCCUAACCAAAACGUUCUCGUCUGUAACGAAUAUAUUACAUGGCGACCGUAGCAGGACUCUCACCAAUCUGCAGUGAAUAAAAUACAUCCCAAAAACUAGUGGAAAGGGAGCCAAGAAGGCUGGCAACAAACAACAACAAACUUCAACAAAAACAACAGCAACAGCAGAUGACAUUUACUACAACUCUGGUAACAAAUAAAAAGACAGCAGCGAUGGAGGGAUAGCUGUGGACAACAAAUAAAUAUUUGACUAUCGCAGCAUAUGAGAGACAAUGUCCGGCGGACUGUGAGGGUCCAUUCUACAACAUUGGCUGCGCACUGACUUGCGAGAUUGCCAAACCGACAGCGCUACAAAGAGCGCAAUAGAGGGCAACAUACAAUCAUCCCGGAGCGAGGACCAGCACCGGCAACAUGAACGAGUUUCGACAGUGGACCGACAGCGCUACAAGGAGCGCACUACGAAUUUUUAUACCCUGAACCCAUUAAAAAUGGGUAUAAGGGUAGUCGGGAGCUCCUGACUAGGGGAUACCAUGAAACCUCUUCUUCUAACAUCAAAUGUA